GGUUGAUAUUAUUGGUAAUGGAGAAGAGGAAGAGGCAAUAUUGUUGGUGAUGUAGAUGAGGAAGAGGUUGAUAUCAUUGGUGAUGGAGAGGAGGUUGCCUUUGAUCAUUCAAAUUCAAUUGAAAAAGAAGACAUGGCUGUUGGUGAUGCUAUAUUUCAUCGACAUCAAAUGGUAUUGCAUGCAAGGAAAUAUUGGGUACAGAAGUAGUGGAUUAAGUUUUCAAUUUGAGUUGUGAUUCAUA
rnacentral:misc_RNA from 1 species